AUGGAAGAACAGGAAAAGAACACUUCUUUGUUCAUCAAAUCACAGAAAGUGUCUGCUAACUCAGGUGGCUUACAGGAAUGAAAAUCUGUUAGAUGACACGCAACCUGCCCUUUCAAAGCUCCUCAAGGACCCUGGGGAUUUUGCAGCCAUCUGGAAUUUGCUGUCAUGCUGUGAUUUCUGCAGUGGCACCUUUUUACCUUUUUUCUUCACAACAGUUUUCAUUUUAAGGGAAGUUUCCAUUUUCUUCCCAGAAGUUCAAGGGGUCCCUUGACACCCCACCAACUUUGAGGAGCCUGUAUUAGUGCUGCUGCUCAGCAUCUCUCACAGGAAUCAGAUGAUCAAGACUACUACUUCCUCUGUGAUCUGGCCUCAACUAUUAGAAAAACAACUUAAUCCUUG